AUUGAACGCUGGCGGCGGGCCUAACACAUGCAAGUCGAACGGUAGCACAGAGAGCUUGCUCUCGGGUGACGAGUGGCGGACGGGUGAGUAAUGUCUGGGAAACUGCCUGAUGGAGGGGGAUAACUACUGGAAACGGUAGCUAAUACCGCAUAAUGUCGCAAGACCAAAGAGGGGGGACCUUCGGGCCUCUUGCCAUCAGAUGUGCCCAGAUGGGAUUAGCUAG
rnacentral:rRNA from 1 species